rnacentral:pre_miRNA from 1 species
AGGCAGUGUAGUUAGCUGAUUUGAAUCACUACCAAUCACUAACCACAUAGCCAGG